rnacentral:sRNA from 1 species
CACGGAAUCGGAUUGCGAGGGGUUCGAACCCGAUCAGGGGGUUCGACAGUCUCGCUGGGAGCGAGACUGAAUGACCGCAGCGAACCCGAAGGGCGAGGCGCAGGACGCGCCGAGUCAUCCCUCGCCCUCCGCCA